rnacentral:tRNA from 1 species
GGGGAUGUAGCCCAACUGGCAGAGGUACACGGCUCAAAACCGUGAUGUUGUGGGUUCGAAUCCCACCAUUCCCA